AAGUCGUAACAAGGUUUCCGUAGGUGAACCUGCGGAAGGAUCAUUACCGAGUUGAUUCGGGCUCCGUCCCGAUCCUCCCACCCUUUGUAUACCUACCUCUGUUGCUUUGGCGGGCCGCGGUCUUCCGCGGCCGCCCCCCGAUUUUGGGGGGUGGCUAGUGCCCGCCAGAGGACUAUCAAACUCCAGUCAGUGAACGUUGCAGUCUGAAAAAAAUAUUAAAUAAACUAAAACUUUCAACAACGGAUCUCUUGGUUCUG
rnacentral:misc_RNA from 1 species